AUCGGGCUGCUGCGGCAGCCGGCGGGGUAGCGAGGUGGAGCAGUGUGGGAAGCCCCAAGCCCGUACCUCUGGGACUGAACGGCGGCGGGUGGGCUGAGGUCAGCCUCUGCAGGCCUGGGCAGGCCUCCUGAGAGUCUAGGGCGUAAGAGUUUUGGGGGUUCCCAAAGUGGGCUGCGGAUCCCCUGCCUGAGGCUUUGGUUUGAGCCCGGGAUCCGGCCUUGUGUUUCCCCGGAAGGAUGGCGUCUCAGUCUUUCCUGAAGUUGGUGCGGUUUGGAUGUUAUUAUUAUUAUUAUCAGCAGUAGUAUUAUUAUUGUUGUUAUUAUUAUCGUUUUGAGGAUACACCGUGUAUAAGAAUUGGUGGUCCUGCGCAGGGUGCCAUGCAGAAUGCCAUGAGUUACAAGUUGGAGGACGGAGGGCUUAGAGAUGCUUGAGGGACGUCCUUAACCUACGUGAAAUGUUGGAGGUUGAGGUGAAAAAUAUGGCUUUGAUAUCUUCAUGGAAAACUGCAUUAUUUCAGUCCUGAAUCUGGUUUGGUUCCCUUAUUGACUCAUUACUAUAUUAAAAAUGUUUAUUUAGCAGUGAUUGUAAAAUGAAAGUAAUUAACAUGUACAUGUUUUUUGGGGGGAGACUAAGGGGAAACACGUGUUCAGCCUAGAAAAACAUUUCUCAUUGGAUUUCCUGUGAAGUCAGUGUGUCUUGGGUUUAACUUUGAAACAAAUUUAAAAAUUUUUAAAUUAAAAAAAAAGUUUACUUAACUAUGGUA